UUGUUUAAACUUUCUUAGACACAUGAACAUAAUAGGGAUACCUUUGUAACUGGGUCGAACCCCUUUCCAUGGAAAACUUUUAUUUUUUAAAUAAAAAAUUUGUUUUUAUGGUUUGAAUUGCGUCUCGGGGGCUUCCGCAUUCUGAAAGAACAUAUCCAAUCAAUGUUUUGGCUUAAAUAUUAAUUAAAAUCGUGGAAGAUUAUGUAACGGACUGAGGAGAAGCGAGCCAAAUUUAAGUAGCUCUAAAUCGUAUUGGCUACAAGCUAGGCGUUAGCCCUCUUGCCUAAAAUUGCAUCAUGUUUUAUCAUUUAUAAAUCGGUGUGAACGAAUCUAGGGAAAGAGAAUGCCGAGAACGAGGCGAGAUCUGGUCAACCUUCGAAAACUCUUGUGGAAAUCAACGUCCGAUUCUGCCAGGAUGAUUUUCGGAGCUGCUGUCAGGCAAUUUCAAUUUAGGAGCUUGACGAAAUUACAUCACCAAUAGUAGCCAUAUUCGUUUUCGACACUGGAAAGACCGCCGAACGCCCCAACAUAACCAUUUACGAUGAAUGACAAUGCUUUCUUCACCAAGAAAAACCGUAAAUAUUUAUCACUUUCAGUCCGUAUUAAUUACGUUACUGGAAAGUGUGGCAUGACGUGCGGCACGAGGUGGAGGGUCAAUGGAAUCCAUUUGUCUUGUGUAGCCGGCACUUUGAUUCUGUAGAAAACAUUUCUAUUUUUAAAAUGGAAUCCUAGUAGUGACUUUUCUCUUACUGUUAUAUCGAUCAGAUUACUAGACUUCAUGCACCUUGGACGUCAGAGUCUAACCAAGAGGUUUUGCUUCCGGAGCAGAAGAGAAAGUCAUUCGAGUUUUCCAAGCACAUCACAAUUUUCUACAGAAAUUUGCCCGGAUCUGUCGUAUUCAUCAGCCAAUUCCAGAAAGGUGAUCCUGUUUAAGUCUUAUGUCUUUCCAAUAAACCCGUUUACCAUAGAGCCGAGCCAGAAGUUCCGAAAACUCCACAUUAAAAAAAUGUUUCUAUUCUCCCUUCAGAUUUAUCCUUCGCAAAUUUUCGUGACUUAAUCCAAGGCUGGAAACUGAGCGAAAGAUUUCUAAAAUUCAAUGCCGAUAUUUGUGUGAGUGUUAAGUUCUUUAGGGUUUUUUGUUUUAUUUUUCUUGUUUGUUAUUUUACCCGAAGGGUUUCUGAGUGGGUAACUGGAUAUUCGUUUUGCUGGUAUGGGUAGUUUUAGGUCUCAAGUGUAGCGCUAGAUGGUUACUGGUUAAUUAGAAAAUCAAAAGAAAAAAUGGGUUUUCACGUGAAGGCAUUUCAAAUUUCAAUUCGAAUUCUUGUCUAAUUAAACCUUAAUAAUUAAUGCCGUCAAAGAAAUUUUGAUUUUGCCUGCAAAUCACGCAAAAUUUAUUGCAAGUUUUCUUGCUGGGUAUCCGUAAUGUUAAUGGGAAAUCAAUAAAUAGCUAGUAGAGUAGUAGUUGAGAAAAUUUGUCAUUCGAAAAUGCACAGAAUACAGUUAAUAAUUUAUUGUAUGAUUAUGAUUAAUGGUUGAACUGGACGUAUAAUAAUAUAGAUAGCAAAUGUUUUUGGUUUAUGAAAAUGCAGCGACUUGCUGAAAAUUGAAAUUUGAAGUGAAAUACUGUUGACGAAGUUUUGGCUCAGCUUUGUCGCGGCAUGAGCCCCACUCACCGACGAUGACUUAUCUUAAAGCAACACGACGACGAAUCGGACAUUUACCAAAUGGAAAUCAUUUCCUGGGAGUGUCCAAGGGCUUCAGUUCUCUCAGACUACGAGUUAGCAAUUGAAGUUUAAUUUGAAGGAUGAGUGAACUGCUUGCUCCAUUUAAUAUAAUGCUAAACAAAAGAAACUGACCUUGAUUUUGGGACAAGCUAGUCGAAAUCAGAAUAUUCAUUCUUCAUUUGCACAUCGAAAACUGGUGAGAUCAAAGUGGGACGUCAAGACUAGUUAGUGAAUCUAUUUUUCCUAUUUUUUCUUGUCGUUACAAUCGACAGCUGCCGUUCCACUACAUUGUUUUGACAUUUUUCGUCUGUUGCCAGUGUUGCCGAAAUCAUGUCACAAAUGAGAAUGAUCUCGCAAUUCUGCCCGAUGAUCCGAUAUUUAAUUUGAUAAUCGUUCAACGUGCAAAAAAUUGCAAUUGGUAGAGGCAGAGUGCUGUUGGAAUGUCAAACGUCAAACAUCCAUUGAAAGUAAAAAAAAAAAAAAAAGCGGAUGAGAUGUGAGCUGUGGUCGUUCGGCUUAUUUUUAGCUCCACCUAUCUAGUGUAACUUGCUUGAACAAGCGGCCUAGGAAGAGAUAACUGUUCUAGCCGUAGACACCAAUCUUUGUUAAGAGAUCGGAUGCCCAGUCUCUUCGCCUACAUUGAUAAGGUAUCUGGUCGCAUGUGACUUCAGACAACCUUAUUCACCAGACCGACCACUGCAGACAUCCCUCGGGUAUGGAAACGAUUAUACUCACCAGGGGAAUCGAACUCACGGUCUCAAAGUGCUUCGUUUACUGAGUGACGCGUUGUCCGACUCACCUACCCGACCCGCACUGGAUUUACAUUAUUAAGAGACGUAUUUUUAGGUCUACUUUAUUUUAUACCUUGAUGUGGCAUGUUCAUCUGACUAUCAACUCCCAACGACUCUUGUAUGGUCAUUUUAGCAUUUAAUCCCAAAAUAAAUUCUCAAGAAAUUACGAAAUUACAAGAAAAAAAAAUUGAGUAAGGACUGGGGCAAGGACAUUAACAAAUUUUGGCAACGUUGGUGCAACAAUUAAUCGUCGUCUGCCGUUUCAA